GUGGAGGAAAAGGGAAAGACUGGAAGAAGUAACAGUGAGAGGAAGAAAAACCAUGCUUAAGUUCCUAAAGAAGCAGCUUUUGUCCCAAUCCUCCCAUGCCACAGAUCACUACCAGGAAAAGAAGAGCAACUCUCUUCAUGGCGAGAGGAACUGACUGCGAUCCUUCAGCAAAAUGACCUGAAAAAGUGGAAGUAGUAAGCACCUGGCUGCUCUCAAUUUAAAG
rnacentral:lncRNA from 1 species